rnacentral:lncRNA from 1 species
CAAAAAGCCCAUCAGGGCAGGGGGAGUUUAGCAGCCAAGCCUUACCACUCUCAAGAGACUGUGAGGUGAUUCUCUUUCGUCACUGCUUGGAUCAGAACUACAGCCUUGCAGUGGCUGGCACUUUUCCUCUACGUUGUGAGAGAGAGAGAAUUGGCUGGAAUUGCUUUCCAUAUAGCUGGCUUGAAAUGCAGCAUUGAAAAGAGUCCAUAGUUCAAGAUAUUCCGUGGACUGCAGCUACUGCCUGCUAGUAUUUGAAGGCCUGUGGAAAGACAGAGGACAUGCCAGCAGCUGUCAAGCUUGACUUAACAUCUAUAUUGUUUCUCAGUUCACUAAGGGAAAUGAAUGGAGCAGAUUGUUGAUUUUUGCACUAUAAGAAUGUGGUCAUGAUUUCGAGAAACAACUGCCCAUCUGUCUCUGGAGACAUUUCUGAGUGCAGUUUGUACUUCCUUUGGGAUGGUGGGGAAGGAGAGCUUUAGAGAUUUGAAAUGAAAAAAAAAAAGUAAAUGGGACAAAAUCAUCUAUUGAGUAAAAUCCAUUGAUUGCAAUGAAGUUACACCAGGGAUGAUUGUCGCCCAGUAAUUCCAUGGUGUAGAAUUGUACAUCGGACAGGCUCUGACUGUGAUGGCCUUAUGUAGACAGUGAUGUUGUUUCUUGAAAUCUCUUGAUUGUGUGUGGUCCCAGAAUUGCAGCAUUAAUU